GUAGUCCACGCCGUAAACGAUGAGAACUAGCCGUCGGAAGCAACUGGCUUUUGGUGGCGCAGCUAACGCGUUAAGUUCUCCGCCUGGGGAGUACGGCCGCAAGGCUAAAACUCAAAUGAAUUGACGGGGGCCCGCACAAGCGGUGGAGCAUGUGGUUUAAUUCGAUGCAACGCGAAGAACCUUACCUGCCCUUGACAUCCUCGGAACUUGUCAGAGAUGACUUGGUGCCUUCGGGAACCGAGAGACAGGUGCUGCAUGGCUGUCGUCAGCUCGUGUCGUGAGAUGUUGGGUUAAGUCCCGUAACGAGCGCAACCCUUGUCCUUAGUUACCAGCGGUUCGGCCGGGAACUCUAGGGAGACUGCCGGUGAUAAACCGGA
rnacentral:rRNA from 1 species